rnacentral:rRNA from 1 species
UAAAAGGUGCCUGUACCGCAAACCGACACAGGUAGGCGAGGAGAGAAUCCUAAGGUGUGCGAGAGAACUCUGGUUAAGGAACUCGGCAAAAUGACCCCGUAACUUCGGGAGAAGGGGUGCUUUCUUAACGGAAAGCCGCAGUGAAUAGGCCCAAGCGACUGUUUAGCAAAAACACAGCUCUCUGCGAAGCCGUAAGGCGAAGUAUAGGGGGUGACACCUGCCCGGUGCUGGAAGGUUAAGGAGAGGGGUUAGCGUAAGCGAAGCUCUGAACUGAAGCCCCAGUAAACGGCGGCCGUAACUAUAACGGUCCUAAGGUAGCGAAAUUCCUUGUCGGGUAAGUUCCGACCCGCACGAAAGGUGUAACGAUUUGGGCACUGUCUCAACCAGAGACUCGGUGAAAUUAUAGUACCUGUGAAGAUGCAGGUUACCCGCGACAGGACGGAAAGACCCCGUGGAGCUUUACUGUAGCCUGAUAUUGAAUUUUGGUACAGUUUGUACAGGAUAGGCGGGAGCCAUUGAAACCGGAGCGCUAGCUUCGGUGGAGGCGCUGGUGGGAUACCGCCCUGACUGUAUUGAAAUUCUAACCUACGGGUC